rnacentral:rRNA from 1 species
UUUACAAUGGAGAGUUUGAUCCUGGCUCAGGAUGAACGCUAGCGGCAGGCCUAAUACAUGCAAGUCGAGGGGCAGCACAGGUAGCAAUACUGGGUGGCGACCGGCAAACGGGU